GACGAACGCUGGCGGCGUGCCUAAUACAUGCAAGUCGAGCGCAGGAAAUCGACGGAACCCUUCGGGGGGAAGUCGACGGAAUGAGCGGCGGACGGGUGAGUAACACGUAAAGAACCUGCCCUCAGGUCUGGGAUAACCACGAGAAAUCGGGGCUAAUACCGGAUGGGUCAUCGGACCGCAUGGUCCGAGGAUGAAAGGCGCUUCGGCGUCGCCUGGGGAUGGCUUUGCGGUGCAUUAGCUAGUUGGUGGGGUAAUGGCCCACCAAGGCGACGAUGCAUAGCCGACCUGAGAGGGUGAUCGGCCACACUGGGACUGAGACACGGCCCAGACUCCUACGGGAGGCAGCAGUAGGGAAUCUUCCACAAUGGACGAAAGUCUGAUGGAGCAACGCCGCGUGAACGAUGAAGGCCUUCGGGUCGUAAAGUUCUGUUGUAAGGGAAGAACAAGUGCCGCAGGCAAUGGCGGCACCUUGACGGUACCUUGCGAGAAAGCCACGGCUAACUACGUGCCAGCCGCCGCGGUAA
rnacentral:rRNA from 1 species